GAAGAGGUUACUGCAGAGGUGACAGCCGGGACGAAGCGCAGCUCCCUCCCCUCCGCGAGGUACGAGCAGCUAGCCGAAGAGCUAAAGAGAUUAGCCGAGCGGAGCCGAGCCCAGCCGGCGGAACCCGCCCGGCGACGCUGUCCGGGGAAGUCUCCACAGAGGUUUCUCCGCACGGACUGACUGACUGACUGGCUGCUGCUCCGCCGGACAAAA